rnacentral:rRNA from 1 species
GGGGCGGCAUGCUUACACAUGCAAGUCGAACGAUGAACCGCUUUCGGGCGGGGAUUAGUGGCGAACGGGUGAGUAACACGUGGGCAAUCUGCCCUGCACUCUGGGACAAGCCCUGGAAACGGGGUCUAAUACCGGAUAUGACUGUCCAUCGCAUGGUGGAUGGUGUAAAGCUCCGGCGGUGCAGGAUGAGCCCGCGGCCUAUCAGCUUGUUGGUGAGGUAGUGGCUCACCAAGGCGACGACGGGUAGCCGGCCUGAGAGGGCGACCGGCCACACUGGGACUGAGACACGGCCCAGACUCCUACGGGAGGCAGCAGUGGGGAAUAUUGCACAAUGGGCGAAAGCCUGAUGCAGCGACGCCGCGUGAGGGAUGACGGCCUUCGGGUUGUAAACCUCUUUCAGCAGGGAAGAAGCGAAAGUGACGGUACCUGCAGAAGAAGCGCCGGCUAACUACGUGCCAGCAGCCGCGGUAAUACGUAGGGCGCAAGCGUUGUCCGGAAUUAUUGGGCGUAAAGAGCUCGUAGGCGGCUUGUCACGUCGGUUGUGAAAGCCCGGGGCUUAACCCCGGGUCUGCAGUCGAUACGGGCAGGCUAGAGUUCGGUAGGGGAGAUCGGAAUUCCUGGUGUAGCGGUGAAAUGCGCAGAUAUCAGGAGGAACACCGGUGGCGAAGGCGGAUCUCUGGGCCGAUACUGACGCUGAGGA